rnacentral:rRNA from 1 species
GAUGAACGCUGGCGGCGUGCUUAACACAUGCAAGUCGAACGGAAAGGCUCCUGCUUGCAGGGGUACUCGAGUGGCGAACGGGUGAGUAACACGUGGGUGAUCUGCCCUGCACUUCGGGAUAAGCCUGGGAAACUGGGUCUAAUACCGGAUAGGACGAUGGUUUGGAUGCCAUUGUGGAAAGUUUUUUCGGUGUGGGCUGAGCUCGCGGCCUAUCAGCUUGUUGGUGGGGUAAUGGCCUACUAAGGCGUCGACGGGUAGCCGGCCUGAGAGGGUGUACGGCCACAUUGGGACUGAGAUACGGCGCAGACUCCUACGGGAGGCAGCAGUGGGGAGUAUUGCGCAAUGGGGGCAAGCCUGAUGCAGCGACGCCGGGUGGGGGAUGACGGCCUUCGGGUUGUAAACUCCUUUCGCUAGGGACGAAGCGCAAGUGACGGUACCUGGAGAAGAAGCACCGGCUAACUACGUG